rnacentral:rRNA from 1 species
AUACGUAGGGUGCAAGCGUUAAUCGGAAUUACUGGGCGUAAAGCGUGCGCAGGCGGUUUUGUAAGACAGAGGUGAAAUCCCCGGGCUCAACCUGGGAAAUGCCUUUGUGACUGCAAGGCUAGAGUAAGGCAGAGGGGGAUGGAAUUCCGCGUGUAGCAGUGAAAUGCGUAGAUAUGCGGAGGAACACCGAUGGCGAAGGCAAUCCCCUGGGCCUGUACUGACUCUCAUGCACGAAAGCUUGGGGAGCAAACAGGAUUAGAUCCCCUAGUAGUCCACUCCCUAAACGAGGUCAACUGGUUGUUGAGUCUUCAUGGACUCAGUAACGAAGCUAACGCGUGAAGUUGACCGCCUGGGGAGUACGGCCGCAAGGUGGAAACGCAAAGGAAUUGACGGGU